rnacentral:rRNA from 1 species
GACGAACGCUGGCGGCGUGCUUAACACAUGCAAGUCGAACGAUGAAAGCGGGAGCUUACUCCUGCUGGAUUAGUGGCGAACGGGUGAGUAACACGUGAGCAAUCUGCCCCGAACUCUGGGAUAAGCGCUGGAAACGACGUCUAAUACCGGAUACGACGCGCGAAGGCAUCUUCUGCGCGUGGAAAGAACUUCGGUUCGGGAUGAGCUCGCGGCCUAUCAGCUAGUUGGUGAGGUAACGGCCCACCAAGGCGACGACGGGUAGCCGGCCUGGGGGGGUGACCGGCCACACUGGGACUGAGACACGGCCCAGACUCCUACGGGAGGCAGCAGUGGGGAAUAUUGCACAAUGGGCGCAAGCCUGAUGCAGCAACGCCGCGUGAGGGACGACGGCCUUCGGGUUGUAAACCUCUUUUAGUAGGGAAGAGGCGAAAGUGACGGUACCUGCAGAAAAAGCACCGGCUAACUACGUGCCAGCCGCCGCGGUAAGAC